AAGCGUACUCUAAAAAUUCCUUAUAAAAAAUUUUCCACCAAAAUUACACUUAAUAUUCUGCCAAUUUUCAUAAGUCCAAGAUCGAAUAGUGCUUGGAAAACCCUAUAGGAAUAAGUAGCAAAACAGUUUCCACGCCACCGCUGCUCCAAUACCCUCAAUCGAUGCUUCUAUUUCUUCGUUGCUUCAUCCUUGGUUGCUGCUCUUCUAUUGCUUUUAGAAUUUCUGAAUUUCAGAAUCGUCAAAGUUCCGGAGAAACAGCAGAUGAUGCAUUUAGGGCUGUGUUUGUAAAGGAGCAGCCUGGUCGGGUUAGAUGCUAUAGUAGAUCGUCACUCUCUGAAAAAAGAUGAAGAAAUCACCAAGCUUAAACAAAAGCAUGCCAAUGGAAUGACUUCUCUGAAAGAAGAAAUGAAGGAAAUGAUGAGAGAAGAAAUGUGAUGUUUUCUUAGUCAGUUGAUGCAAAACAACCCUGGACUGAAUUUUCAUGAUAUACAAGGGUGUGCUGGAUCUAAUAUUCCUUCACCAGUUGAUGCAAGUAGUGCAGGAGCUAUAAGAGGCCAAAAUCUACCACAUUCUUGUGGCUCAACUCAUGCUCCGAGUCUUGAAAAGAAAAAUGCGGUUGAUGCAAUUGGAAAUGGUGGCCACAAAUUAAUUUGAUCUAUUAAAGUGGAUGGUGAAGACUUUUGAACAAUUGUGAUGUUUAUUAUUAUUGAUACUAUAUAUAUAUGAAUCGGUUUUAUAAAGUUCUUUUGCGAGUGAACUUCUUGAAGCAGUGGCUUAUUACUAUGGGUAGUAGUGUAGUACACAAAUUUUGUUUCUUUGUUGAAGUUUUGUUUCAAGUA